rnacentral:rRNA from 1 species
AUUGAACGCUGGCGGCAGGCUUAACACAUGCAAGUCGAGCGGAGAUGAGGUGCUUGCACCUUAUCUUAGCGGCGGACGGGUGAGUAAUGCUUAGGAAUCUGCCUAUUAGUGGGGGACAACAUUCCGAAAGGAAUGCUAAUACCGCAUACGUCCUACGGGAGAAAGCAGGGGACCUUCGGGCCUUGCGCUAAUAGAUGAGCCUAAGUCGGAUUAGCUAGUUGGUGGGGUAAAGGCCUACAAAGGCGACGAUCUGUAGCGGGUCUGAGAGGAUGAUCCGCCACAAUGGGACUGAGACACGGCCCAGACUCCUACGGGAGGCAGCAGUGGGAAAUAUUGGACAAUGGGCGGAAGCCUGAUCCAGCCAUGCCGCGUGUGUGAAGAAGGCCUUUUUGUUGUAAAGCACUUUAAGCGAGGAGGAGGCUACUUAGAUUAAUACUCUAGGAUAGUGGACGUUACUCGCAGAAUAAGCACCGGCUAACUCUGUGCCAGCCGCCGCGGUAACAC